rnacentral:rRNA from 1 species
GUGCCAGCAGCCGCGGUAAGACAGAGGGGGCAAGCGUUGUCCGGAUUGACUGGGCGUAAAGCGCCCGCAGGUGGUCGCGCAAGUGAGGUGUGAAAGCGCUCGGCUUAACUGAGCGAGGCCAUCUCAGACUGCGUGGCUCGAGCCGUGCAGAGGCCCGUGGAAUUGCCGGUGUAGUGGUGAAAUGCGUAGAGAUCGGCAGGAACACCCAGGGGGAAACCAGCGGGCUGGGCACGCGCUGACACUGAGGGGCGAAAGCGUGGGGAGCGAACCGGAUUAGAAACCCCCGUAGUCC